rnacentral:rRNA from 1 species
UGGCGGACGGGUGAGUAAUGUCUGGGAAACUGCCUGAUGGAGGGGGAUAACUACUGGAAACGGUAGCUAAUACCGCAUAACGUCGCAAGACCAAAGAGGGGGACCUUAGGGCCUCUUGCCAUCGGAUGUGCCCAGAUGGGAUUAGCUAGUAGGUGGGGUAAAGGCUCACCUAGGCGACGAUCCCUAGCUGGUCUGAGAGGAUGACCAGCCACACUGGUACUGAGACACGGUCCAG